CGGGGUGAGUAAUGUCUGGGAAACUGCCUGAUGGAGGGGGAUAACUGCUGGAAACGGUAGCUAAUACCGCAUAACGUCGCAAGACCAAAGAGGGGGACCUUCGGGCCUCUUGCCAUCGGAUGUGCCCAGAUGGGAUUAGCUAGUAGGUGGGGUAACGGCUCACCUAGGCGACGAUCCCUAGCUGGUCUGAGAGGAUGCCAGCCACACUGGAACUGAGCACGGUCCAG
rnacentral:rRNA from 1 species